rnacentral:rRNA from 1 species
UACGUAGGAGGCAAGCGUUAUCCGGAUUCACUGGGCGUAAAGCGGGUGCAGGCGGCUUGGUAAGUCGGAUGUAAAAUCUCCUGGCUUAACUGGGAGGGCGCAUUCGAAACUGCCAGGCUAGAGGGCAGCAGAGGAAGAUGGAAUUCCCGGUGUAGUGGUGAAAUGCGUAGAUAUCGGGAGGAACACCAGUGGCGAAAGCGGUCUUCCAGGCUGUACCUGACGCUGAGACCCGAAAGCGUGGGGAGCAAAC